rnacentral:pre_miRNA from 1 species
CGGUUGGGAUUUGUUGCAAUGCUGAUAAAUGCAUGGUAUUGCACUUGUCCCGGCCUGU